GCGUCGGUGGUUCAGUGGUAGAUUACUCGCCUGCCACGCGGGUGACCCGGGUUCGAUUCCCGGCCGACGCA
rnacentral:tRNA from 1 species